UUGGAGGGCAAGUCUGGUGCCCGCAGCCGCGGUAAUUCCAGCUCCAAUAGCGUAUAUUAAAGUUGUUGCAGUUAAAAAGCUCGUAGUUGAAUUUCGGGAUCAAUGUUUCGGUCAUGCCGUUGGUAUGUACUGAUAUUAUUGAUUUCUCACCUUCUAAAGAACCGUAAUGCCAUUAAUUUGGUGUCACGGGGAAUUAGGACUGUUACCUUGAAAAAAUUAGAGUGUUUAAAGCAGGCUCACGCUUGAAUACAUUAGCAUGGAAUAAUGAAAUAGGACAUCCGAUUCUAUUUUGUUGGUUUCUAGGAUCGAUGUAAUGAUUAAUAGGGAUAGUUGGGGGCAUUAGUAUUCAAUUGUCAGAGGUGAAAUUCUUGGAUUUAUUGAAGACUAACUACUGCGAAAGCAUUUGCCAAGGAUGUUUUCAUUAAUCAAGAACGAAAGUUAGGGGAUCGAAGACGAUCAGGUACCGUCGUAGUCUUAACCAUAAACUAUGCCGACUAGGGAUCGGAUGAUGUUAAUUUUUUAAUGACUCAUUCGGCGCCUUACGGGAAACCAAAGUGUUUGGGUUC
rnacentral:rRNA from 1 species